GGUGAGAUGGCCGAGCGGUCCAAGGCGCCAGACUAAGGUGGGUGGGUUGUUGUCCUGCGUUCUCAAUCUGGUCUCUUCGGGGGCGGGAGUUCGAAUCUCCCUCUCAUCA